rnacentral:sRNA from 1 species
CUCCAUCAGCAAGCUCCAGUGCUACGUGUCUCUGGCAUUUUAGGUGUCGGUUGGGUAGAAUUCCAGAAGAUUGCCAUGGCAACAGCAAUAGGAUUUGCUAUAAUGGGAUUCAUUGGCUUCUUUGUGAAAUUGAUCCAUAUUCCUAUUAAUAACAUCAUUGUGUAAGUAAACUUUAUGAAAUAGACUAGGAUUGAAUGAAACUCGAAACCAUUUGAGAUGACAGGCUGUUAUUUCGUUAAUAUAGAGAUGCAUCUCUUGACUUUUUAGUGCUGUUGGAGUCUACUGAUAUUUACGAGUACCUGAUAAUUGAGGGCUUUUAGAUCUUACAUGAUCUUUCCAGAAAUUCUGUGUGCUAGGCACUAUUUUCUUUAAUAAAUAAAAUUUUACAGAGUCAAGAAAGUAUUAAAGACACUCAUAUGUCACAAAGCCAGCAUUGA